rnacentral:lncRNA from 1 species
AGCGUCUUCAACUUCACUACAUCAGAGUCGUCCGAGCUUGAGUAGAUUACUCCACAUUUAGCCCCCAGCCUCCUUACUUCAUUUGUUGUGAGGGAGUUUAAGAAAUAGAUGUCGUCCGGAUGUAGAUCCGUAUCUGUCAGCCCCAAAACCCUCAUUUUUUUUUGGCUCGGACUCGAGCACUUUUCUUUUUGCCGAAUGAGUUGUCUGUAGAUUUGGUACGAUUAGACGUUUUGCUUUCCGUUGAGAUCUUGGAAGUUGA